rnacentral:rRNA from 9 species
GCGACCCCAGGAUGGGCGAGGCCACCCGCCGAGUUUAAGCAUAUC